CCCGCCCAGCGCCGCGGAUGGCGCGGGUGUCGCUGCUCGGUGCUUUGGAACACCCUGAAGGAGCGCGAGGUGGCGGCGCUCUAUUCUGCAGCCAGAGCUCCGGCGGUGCCUUUUCCGUACUGUGUGAGUGAGCGAGCAUGACAGGCUGCCCACCGGGGGAGCUCGGGCUCUUGAAACAAAGGUCCACGCGAUUUGAAGGGCAUUAACGACCACCUGGAGACGCGGCGAGGCUACCGCGCGGGUCCCGACGCUGCCGCAUUUGUUCCCCGAGCGUUGCCGCCUUGCAGCCCGCUCCGCGCCGGGAGCUGUGCUGUAGGAGAACACGGUGCCGGCCGGCGCGCAAGCGCUGUACACGGCGUGUGUCUAGGGCUGCGAGCUCUAGGGAGCUUUCACUAAUCAAAACAUGAAGUGUUUUCGAAGAACACCGUUGCCUGAAUGGCCGUCAGCAGGCGGCCCUGCAGCGUAGCGGCUGCCUCGGCCCUCAGCCUUGACGCCGUGAGCUGCCCCUGCUGGAAAGGUCAGCCUCGCAUUUUUGGAAGAUGGUCAGAAUCAUUUCCAUGACUCAAGUUUCCUUCUCUUUGUGGAAAAAAGAGAAAAACAUGUGAAAAUUGCAUCGUAGGAAAAAGGCCUUAUCCUAAGGUAACGUUUUUUUUUUGUUUUGUUUUUCCACUAUUUUCCUAAUAAGUACUUAACCAAGGCAGUAAAUCUGAAAAGUUUGAAAAUGACUUGAUUUAAAUUCAGGGAUGUCCUCCAGUGAUAAUUUCACCAGUAACACACACACCAAAAAAAAAAAAAAACCAAAACAAACAAACAAACAAAAAAACUGUUUGUUUAGUGCAGGUGUGUAUGGAACCUGAGUAUGGGUUGACCUUCUAGAAUGCCACAGUUAUGCUGCACAGUUAGAUUAAUAGCUAAGAGGCAAAUUGAUUAUAGGGCACUACAUAAUAGCAUGAGGUCUGUUCAAAGCUAGCUGUAAUGGCUUAUUGUUUUCCAUGUUACUCUGUGAUUAAAAAAUACCACGAGUAUCAGCAUUGGGCUGUAUAACACUUAGUUUUCAAAAUUCUAUCUUUUUCUUGUUUCCUCAGUUCUUAUGCAACAGAGAGUUGCCUUUAUGUACUCAUAUGCAGUUAUCUUUGUUUAAUUGCUUUUGCAAUUAUAUGCUGUCUCUUACUUCCUUGUAGCCUUGCCAGAAUCUAUGCAAAAGAAGUCAUCAACUUUUUAUAUUUGAUAUUACAUUAUUUUUCCGUAACGAAGGAAUUUGUUUGCAAUUUGACAUAAUCUUCCUCUGAUGUAGCUCAGUAGCAGAUUACACAACUUUAUCUCUCUUCAAACUUGCAGUAAAGAUAAAAGCUGACCUCCAGC
ensembl:lncRNA